rnacentral:rRNA from 1 species
GAGUUUGAUCGUGGCUCAGAUUGAACGCUGGCGGCAUGCCUUACACAUGCAAGUCGAACGGCAGCAUGAUCUAGCUUGCUAGAUUGAUGGCGAGUGGCGAACGGGUGAGUAAUACAUCGGAACGUGCCCUGUAGUGGGGGAUAACUAGUCGAAAGAUUAGCUAAUACCGCAUACGACCUGAGGGUGAAAGUGGGGGACCGCAAGGCCUCAUGCUAUAGGAGCGGCCGAUGUCUGAUUAGCUAGUUGGUGGGGUAAAGGCCCACCAAGGCGACGAUCAGUAGCUGGUCUGAGAGGACGAUCAGCCACACUGGGACUGAGACACGGCCCAGACUCCUACGGGAGGCAGCAGUGGGAAUUUGGACAAUGGGCGAAAGCCUGAUCCAGCAAUGCCGCGUGUGUGAAGAAGGCCUCGGUGU